rnacentral:rRNA from 1 species
UACGUAGGUGGCGAGCGUUAUCCGGAUUUACUGGGUGUAAAGGGAGCGUAGACGGUUAUGCAAGUCAGAAGUGAAAGCCCAAAGCUCAACUUCGGGACUGCUUUUGAAACUGUGUAACUAGAGUGCAGGAGGGGUAAGCGGAAUUCCUAGUGUAGCGGUGAAAUGCGUAGAUAUUAGGAGGAACACCGGCGGCGAAGGCGGCUUACUGGACUGUAACUGACGUUGAGGCUCGAAAGCGUGGGGAGCAAACAGG